CCGGAAUCCGGCCCCGGUCACGUUCCGACCGAACCAGGGACCGUGGGCGAGAUUCCGCCCCCCGCCCGGCCUCGGAGCCCGGCAAACUAAGCCACUGCUCUGAAAGGAAAAGCCUUUUGCUUGUGGUUGGGCACAUUCCACUUCCUCUUCCAAAUAGCACCUCCACAGCCCCUAACUCUGCUCUCUUCAGUUGCCAGCAGAUGGAAAGCAAGUAGGGUGUGGAAACAGAGUAGUAUGUUAUUGUGCGAGCCUGGCUGUGUCGCUGGAGAAUGAGGAGCAGAUAAAGUUCAGAGUUAUUUACAGUCACCUCUGCAGCUCCCUCUCCCCUGUCAUUUGAGAACAUUACUGUGGUAACUCCAGCAGGGGCCACAGUAGGAAAGCUGUGAAUUUGCUGCUGGGAGGAAGUAGGACAGGCAGAUUGAUGAUUCCCGGGGAACAGGAGCAGGUGUGCUGUGGACCAAGAGAGAUGCACCAAGGAGGCAUAGGGUGAAUCCUGUUGGAGAGCUCCGGAAGCAGCUUCAAGGACAAGCACUGUCACAGCUCUUGUCUUCCUGUGGCAGAGCACAUGAAAAUAUGAGCCGCAAACCUCCAUCUUUGGCUGCUGAAGGGGGAGGGAGAGGGGAAGAGAUCGAUGGCCAAGGCAUAUUUGGACCGAUGUUCAGCUGCAAGAGAUGUGAUGGGAGUGUACAGUUAAAACUAAAGGGUUAGGUGGGU